UUGCAGUUAAUUAAGCCGACCGACUCCUUGUUUUGUGGAAGUCUUGGUGUGCAAUGGCUGCAUACAGUAAACCCCUCUCUGGUUGUGUAUGUGCUCUGUUAGUCUGUACAGAGCGCACUAAGGGACCUCUGAGACAUAG